rnacentral:rRNA from 1 species
CAUGUAGGCGGUUCGUCGCGUCCGGUGUGAAAGUCCAUCGCUUAACGGUGGAUCCGCGCCGGGUACGGGCGGGCUUGAGUGCGGUAGGGGAGACUGGAAUUCCUGGUGUAGCGGUGAAAUGCGCAGAUAUCAGGAGGAACACCGAUGGCGAAGGCAGGUCUCUGGGCCACUACUGACGCUGAGAAGCGAAGGCAUGGGGGACGAACA